rnacentral:lncRNA from 1 species
UGCUGGACUUCCUGACGCUGACAAGGCAAAGAAGAGAAAUAAGCAAGGGCACUUUUUUGAAUGGUAUCCAAACAACGAUGUGAGUGUUCUUUCUGAGAGUGAGCAAAUGGACCAUUAUAAAGUCAAGACCACUUGGUUAUGAAGGGCACCUUUCAUUUAUUGAAUGGGUAGCCACACAGCACUGCGGAAUAUUUCAUAUCGACUUGUGUCAUCACACACCAGAAAUGAGCAGCCUAGCUACAGUAUUAUGCAGAAUGUAAGAAGAAAGAAAGAAAGAAAGAAAGAAAGAAAGAAAGAAAGAAAGAAAGAAAGAAAGAAAGAAAGAAAGAAAGAAAGAAAGAAAGAAAGAAAGAAAGAAAGAAAGAAAGAAAGAAAGAAAGAACANAAGAAAGAAAGAAAGAAAGAAAGAAAGAAAGAAAGAAAGAAAGAAAGAAAGAAAGAAAGAAAGAAAGAAAGAAAGAAAGAAAGAAAGAAAGAAUGAACACAACAUGUAUUUUGGGUACGUCAUGUCUAUGUUCCUAUCUGGGUUUUUUAAGCAUUUGAAUAAAGACUGCUUUUCAAACCUAAAACA